rnacentral:piRNA from 1 species
UUGGUGAUCCUGACAGUUUAUCUAUGGU